AUUGAACGCUGGCGGCAUGCUUUACACAUGCAAGUCGAACGGUAACAGGCCGCAAGGUGCUGACGAGUGGCGAACGGGUGAGUAAUGCAUCGGAACGUGCCCAGUCGUGGGGGACAACGCAGCGAAAGCUGCGCUAAUACCGCAUACGAUCUAUGGAUGAAAGCGGGGGACCGUAAGGCCUCGCGCGAUUGGAGCGGCCGAUGUCAGAUUAGGUAGUUGGUGGGGUAAAGGCUCACCAAGCCAACGAUCUGUAGCUGGUCUGAGAGGACGACCAGCCACACUGGGACUGAGACACGGCCCAGACUCCUACGGGAGGCAGCAGUGGGGAAUUUUGGACAAUGGGCGAAAGCCUGAUCCAGCAAUGCCGCGUGCAGGAAGAAGGCCCUCGGGUUGUAAACUGCUUUUGUACGGAGCGAAAAGGUCCUUUCUAAUACAAGGGGCUCAUGACGGUACCGUAAGAAUAAGCACCGGCUAACUACGUGCCAGCCGCCGCCGUAA
rnacentral:rRNA from 1 species